UUUUCUCUCAACUCCAUCGCGAUUUCCUCUCGAUGAAACCCUUCUCCGACGAAAAAUCGGACGAUUUCCCAUGAAAUCUCCGACGAUUUCGUUAAUUCCUUCCUCUGUUCUCUUGUUUUCAACACAUUUGACCUAUCAAUCCGACGAUUUCGUCGAUUACAACUCCCAGAAAUGAAUAUUUUCCGAUUAGGGUUCAUAUCUCCCCUGAUUCUUCGAUUAUUAUCACAGAUAAGUCAUAUAAUAUCGAUGCAUGCACUUAUUCUUUCCUUCUUCUUCGUGUAUUAUGAGUUUCUCACAACUUGU
rnacentral:lncRNA from 1 species